UGAUGAUGAUGAUGAUGAUGAUGAUGAUGAUGAUGAUGAUGAUGAUUCAUAAUCGCGUUCCUCCUUCUGUUCCACUUCUUUCUCCUCGUCGUCAUCAUCAUCAUCAUCAUCGUCGUCA
rnacentral:pre_miRNA from 1 species